GACGAACGCUGGCGGCGUGCUUAACACAUGCAAGUCGAACGAAGUGGCGAACGGGUGAGUAACGAGUAAUCAACCUGCCCAUCAGAGGGGGACAACAGUUGGAAACGACUGCUAAUACCGUAUACGGAAGGAGGGGGUUGCGCCUGAUUAGCAAGUUGGAGGGGUAACGGCCCACAAAGGCGAGGAGCGGUAGCCGGUCGGAGAGGAGGAACGGCCACAUUGGGACUGAGACCCGGCCCAGACUCCUACGGGAGGCAGCAGUGGGGAAUCUUCCGCAAUGGACGAAAGUCUGACGGAGCAACGCCGCGUGAGUGAUGACGGCCUUCGGGUUGUAAAGCUCUGUUAAUCGGGACGCGGUACCGGAAUAGAAAGCCACGGCUAACUACGUGCCAGCAGCCGCGGUAAUUC
rnacentral:rRNA from 1 species